CCUACGGGUGGCAGCAGUGAGGAAUAUUGGUCAAUGGACGAGAGUCUGAACCAGCCAAGUAGCGUGAAGGAUGACUGCCCUAUGGGUUGUAAACUUCUUUUGUAUGGGAAUAAAAUGUUCCACGUGUGGGAUUUUGUAUGUACCAUAUGAAUAAGGAUCGGCUAACUCCGUGCCAGCAGCCGCGGUAAUACGGAGGAUCCGAGCGUUAUCCGGAUUUAUUGGGUUUAAAGGGAGCGUAGGUGGUUUGUUAAGUCAGUUGUGAAAGUUUGCGGCUCAACCGUAAAAUUGCAGUUGAAACUGGCAGUCUUGAGUACAGUAGAGGUGGGCGGAAUUCGUGGUGUAGCGGUGAAAUGCUUAGAUAGCACGAAGAACUCCGAUUGCGAAGGCAGUUCACUGGACUGCAACUGACACUGAGGCUCGAAAGUGUGGGUAUCAAACAGGAUUAGAUACCCGAGUAGUC
rnacentral:rRNA from 1 species